rnacentral:rRNA from 1 species
UAAUACCAACUCCCCGAGUGGUCGGGACGAUUAUUGGGCUUAAAGCGUCCGUAGCCGGCCCGGUGUGUCUCUGGUCAAAUCCGGCGUCUCAAGCGCCGGACCGCCGGAGAUACUACCGGGCUAGGGAGCGGGAGAGGCGGGCGGUAUUCCCUGGGUAGGGGUAAAAUCCUAAGAUCCAGGGAGGACCAUCGGUGGCGAAGGCGGCCCGCUAGAACGCGUCCGACGGUGAGGGACGAAAGCUGGGGGAGCGAUCCGGAUUAGAUACCCGGGUAGUCCCAGCCGUAAACGAUGCAGGCUAGGGUGUGUGGACGCCUUAGGGGCGUCCAUGUGCCGAAGGGAAACCGUUAAGCCUGCCGCCUGGGGAGUACGGCCGCAAGGCUGAAACUCUAGGCUGUCUCCGACGGCUGGGGGCUGUCCUAGGGCAGCAUACUUAAAGGAAUUGGCGGGGGAGCACCACAAGGGGUGGAGCCUG